GCGGCCAUAGUUCAAUGGAUAGAACGCGUGGCUUCGGACCACGAAAUUGGGGGUUCAAAUCCCUCUGGCCGCGCCC
rnacentral:tRNA from 1 species